rnacentral:rRNA from 1 species
UACGUAGGGGGCUAGCGUUGUCCGGAAUCAUUGGGCGUAAAGAGCGUGUAGGCGGCCCGGUAAGUCCGCUGUGAAAGUCGGGGGCUCAACCCUCGAAUGCCGGUGGAUACUGUCGGGCUUGAGUGCGGAAGAGGCGAGUGGAAUUCCUGGUGUAGCGGUGAAAUGCGCAGAUAUCAGGAAGAACACCCGUGGCGAAGGCGGCUCUCUGGGACGGUACUGACGCUGAGACGCGAAAGCGUGGGGAGCGAACAGG